UUGCGCUAUUUGCCACGGAAGGUCAUCAAGUGCAAAACCGGCUGAGGCAAUAACACACUGGGUAAAGACAUUACACUUGCCGGUGGGUACGAAAUUAAAUACGGACCCCUGAGGUUCAACAGUCAACGAUUAGGAUACCGUGCACUAUGUUUUUACAGCAGGAAGAGUGAGUGAUUGAGUCUGUCAGAUUCAGUAUGUCUGCAUGGAUGCAGCAGGAGGCUGGUCCAACCAGUUCUGCUGAAAUCAAGAAAUCAGAGCCCAGAGGCAAGGAGAAGAAAUGCUCAUGGGCGUCUUACAUGACAAACUCCCCCACCUUGAUUGUCAUGAUCGGCCUCCCUGCCAGAGGCAAGACGUACAUGUCAAAGAAACUCACACGCUAUCUCAACUGGAUAGGAGUUCCAACAAAGGUGUUUAACCUGGGGGUGUAUCGGAGGGAAGCAGUUAAAGCCUACAAGUCUUAUGACUUCUUCAGACAUGACAAUAAGGAAGCCAUGGAGAUCCGAAAACAGUGUGCCUUGGUGGCCCUGGAAGAUGUAAAGACCUACCUUAAUGAGGAAGGUGGACAAAUAGCUGUAUUUGAUGCCACAAACACAACCCGGGAAAGACGGGAUCUUAUAUUCAGUUUUGUACAGGAGAAUUCAUAUAAGGUGUUUUUUGUGGAGUCAGUAUGUGAUGAUCCAGAGGUUAUUGCAGCUAACAUCCUGGAGGUCAAGGUUUCAAGUCCAGAUUAUCCAGAGACACACAGAGAGCGAGUCAUGGAUGAUUUCCUGAAACGCAUAGAAUGUUAUCAAGUCACUUACCAGCCACUAGAUCCUGAUGAAUAUGACAAAGAUUUGUCCUUCAUUAAGGUGAUGAACGUGGGUCGUCGGUUUGUGGUGAACCGUGUUCAGGACUACAUCCAGAGCAAGAUCGUCUACUACCUCAUGAACAUCCAUGUGCACUCGCACUCCAUCUACCUGUGCAGGCACGGAGAGAGCAAACACAACAUCCAGGGCCGCGUUGGAGGAGAUUCUGAACUCUCCCCCCGAGGAAGACAGUUUGCGAGCACCCUGCGUGAGUUCAUUGAGGAGCAUAAGCUGUCUGACUUGAAGGUUUGGACCAGCCAGUUAAGAAGAACCAUCCAGACGGCUGAAGAGCUGGGAGUUCCGUAUGAACAGUGGAAAAUCCUCAAUGAGAUAGAUGCUGGUGUAUGUGAAGAGAUGACCUACGAAAUGAUCCAGAACACGUUCCCAGAAGAGUUUGCUUUAAGGGAUCAGGAUAAAUACCACUACAGAUACCCAGGAGGAGAGUCGUAUCAGGACCUGGUUCAGCGGCUAGAGCCUGUGAUUAUGGAGCUUGAGAGACAAGGCAAUGUACUAGUCAUCUGCCACCAGGCAGUUAUGCGCUGCCUACUAGCCUAUUUCUUGGACAAGAGUGCAGAUGAUCUGCCCUAUUUGAAAUGUCCCCUUCACACUGUCAUGAAGCUCACUCCAGUUGCUUACGGCUGCAAAGUGGAGAUGUUUUAUCUGAAUGUGGAGGCAGUGAAUACACAUCGGGACCGGCCACUGGGGAAAGUCAGACGAGACUCCGCCCCUCUGCUAAGGCGAAAUAGUUACACGCCCCUCUCCAGUCAUGACCAGGUUAAGCGGCCCCGCCUCUACAGCGAUGGCAACCGACCCUGGCUGCCCCUCACCCCCUCCCCCACCACCCUGCACAUCCCCGACUCGCCAGACGGGGCGCUGCUGCUUCAGCAAAGCCAAGUUAGUGUCAGACUCGAUUGACCCCAUGAUGUCCUGACACUAACCAACCCUCACCCUGGUGUUCUGAAUCACCCCUGAAUGUCACACCCUGUACUAAUUGUGCUAACUGUAAAAGCGAUUUCAGUUUGGCAGUCUCAUCCUAUUCUUUUUUUUCUUUUUUGGCGCAUGUUCUCCGCUAACUCUUUGUUCAGGUUGAGCUCUUUUUUUGUUGUUCUGUAUGGGUGCUCACCACAGAUCAUACAAUAAUCAUAACUUAAACAGCUAACUAAUUGGCCUUAUCUUACUUAACUUUAUAACAACAAAAUCUAAUUGUUUUCCUUCUCUUGUAGACUUUCUUUGAAGUAAUUUUUCUCUGUUAUACCAGAUCAAAAUAAGUGAAUUAUUUCUUGUUACCAGUUUUUCCAUGUGCACAAAUUGUGUCAUAAUUUACUUACUUCAAAGUUGUAUGUACUUCCUUCUGUGGAACAUAAAAGGAAAAACAUAUCUGCUCUUUUCCAUACAAUGAAUGUGAACGGUGACCCAAAAUGAUUAGUAAAAUUUGGAAUAGUUCACCCAAUGAACCAAGAUGUACAUGAGUUUGUUUCUUCAUCAGAACUGAUUUGGUCAUAUUUAACAUUGCAUCACUUGCUCACCAAUGGAUCGUUUGCAGUGAAUGGGUGCCAUCAGCAUCAGAGUCCAAACAGCUGAUAGAAACCUCACAAUAAUCUACACAACUCCAGCCUAUCAGUUAAUGUUGUUUGUAACCAAAAGGUUAAUGUUUUAAUGAAAAAUCCAUUAAGAUUUUUUUUAACUUCCUGCUAAAAUUCAAGUCCUGUAUCAAUAAUAUUGCUUUCUCUUGUUGGCACAGAUAGUCUCGUGUUUAAUGUGCCGACAUAUAAGGCAACUAAGCUCUGUCUCCCACCCCCUCUCUCCCCUCUCAACUGUCCCAUCAAAUAAAGGCAAAUAAGACCAUAAAUAUAACUUUAAAAAAUAAUAAUAUAGCUUUUUCUACUUAGAAAGUUGUAUUGUCUGAAUCAGGAGAGAAAUAUGCAUAGACCAUUAGCUUUCAUUGUAUAGAAACUAGCAGCAUAACAUCUCCUUUUGUGUUCUGCAGAAGAACAAAAGUCAUAUGGUUUGGCAUGACAUGAGGGUGAGUAAAUGACAGAAUCUUCAUAUUUUGGGGGUAAAUCUCUUCAGAGUGAUGUGCUUCAGUAAUGUCCAUGUUUUACUCUGAACAUACCAAUUUGUCCUUGGGCCUCAGUUCUCUUCUCCAUAUUUGUCUCUCCUCUUUCUUCCUCCACUCCUCUUCAUCCUUCUCCCUCUAUUUUCACAGUCUCAUAUGGCUGGCAGUCAUCUGACUCCUUGUGUGAAGGAAUCAACUUUGACUGCCCAGACGAAGCUAAUGACUGUUUCCGCUUCUGAAUGAGAUGGGCGAAUUUCCAAAAUCCUUCAUGAAAACAAAACUUUGCUUUUAGAUACUCCCUCUCCCCAGCUUCUGCUUGCUCUUUCGGUGAUGGAACUACAUUUCCCAUCAGCCCCUUGCAUGACAAAUCACCACUGCUGUGACUACAAUGAAUCCUAUAAUUUAUCAUCAAGAGAUAUAUAUGCGCAGUUAUUUUAGCUGAUGAUGCCUUAAUGAAGACUGUUUGAUCUGUUAUAAUUUGGACAUGAUGUGGGUUGUGCAAAUGAUGAUAACCUCAUCUCAAGUACAGAAUUUGUGUUGCAAUACAAGUA